rnacentral:rRNA from 1 species
CUACGGGGGGCAGCAGUGAGGAGUUUUGCGCAAUGGGGGAAACCCUGACGCAGCAACGCCGCGUGAGCGAAGAAGGCCUUCGGGUCGUAAAGCUCUGUCAAGUGGGAAAAACGUUUUCCGGUCAAUAGCCGGGAGAUCUGAUGGUACCGCUGAAGGAAGCACCGGCUAACUCCGUGCCAGCAGCCGCGGUAAUACGGAGGGUGCAAGCGUUGUUCGGAAUUAUUGGGCGUAAAGAGCGUGUAGGCGGUUUGGUAAGUCAGAUGUGAAAGCCCUGGGCUCAACCUGGGAAGUGCAUUUGAAACUGCUUUACUUGAGUAUGGGAGAGGAGAGUGGAAUUCCUGGUGUAGAGGUGAAAUUCGUAGAUAUCAGGAGGAACAUCUGUGGCGAAGGCGACUCUCUGGACCAAUACUGACGCUGAGACGCGAAAGCGUGGGUAGCAAACAGGAUUAGAUACCCGUGUAGUC